GACGAACGCUGGCGGCGUGCCUAAUACAUGCCAGUAGAACGCUGAAGGCGGAUCUUGCUUCUCUGGAUGAGUUGCGAACGGGUGAGUAACGCGUAGGUAACCUGCCUGGUAGCGGGGGAUAACUAUUGGAAACGAUAGCUCAUACCGCAUAAGAGUAGAUGUUUCAUGACAUUUGCUUAAAAGUUGCACUUGCAUCUCUACCAGAUGGACCUGCGUUGUAUUAGCUAGUUGGGGGGGUAACGGCUUACCAAGGCGACGAUACAUAGAAGACUUGAGAGGGGGAUCGGCAAAACUGGGACGGAGACACGACCCAGACUACUGCGAGAGAGAGCAGGAGGAAAUCCUUGGGAAUGGAAGCAAGUCGGACCAAGCAACGCCGGGUGAGAGAAGAAGGUUGUCAGAUCGUGAAGAUCUGGAGGAAGAGAAGAACGAAAAGGAGAGUGAAAAGUGCAAAUUGUGACGGUACCUUGCCAGAAAGGUACGGCUAACUCCGUG
rnacentral:rRNA from 1 species